AUUGAACGCUGGCGGCAGGCCUAACCCAUGCAAGUCGAGCGGAGCGGCGGACGGGUGAGUAAUGCCUAGGAAUCUGCCUGGUAGUGGGGGAUAACGUCCGGAAACGGGCGCUAAUACCGCAUACUAUCAGAUGAGCCUAGGUCGGAUUAGCGAGGUGGUGGGGUAAAGGCCUACCUAGGCGACGAUCCCUAGCUGGUCUGAGAGGAUGACCAGCCAAAUUGGAACUGAGACACGGUCCAAACUCAUACGGGAGGAAGCAGUGAGGAAGAUUGGUCAAUGGGCGCUAGCCUGAACCAGCCAAGUAGCGUGAAGGAUGAAGGUCUAUGGGUCGUAAACUUCUUUAUAUAAGAAUAAUGUAUUAUAUGAAUAAGGAUCGGCUAACUCCGUGCCAGCAGCCGCGGUAAUUC
rnacentral:rRNA from 1 species